ACGUAUCUCUGACGGGGUGCGGUUCGCCCUGCUCCGGCCCAAACGGGUCGUGCAGCGGGCGGCCGUCCCCGCUCAAACCUCACAAACCCACUGUGAACCUUCACGGCGGAGGGGGCCUGGUUCGCGCCACGCCCCCGAUGCCGCAUACCAAACUCCAGUUGCAAAGAAUGUAUCGCGGACCUCGUGCCGCCUAAAACACAUAA
rnacentral:misc_RNA from 1 species